AAAGGAAUAGACGGGAGCCCGCACAAGCAGUGGAGUAUGUGGUUUAAUUCGAUGCAACGCGAAGAACCUUACCAGGACUUGACAUCCUAAGAAGGCGAAGUAAAAUUUGCUGUGCCCCUUCGGGGGAAUUUAGAGACAGGUGGUGCAUGGUUGUCGUCAGCUCGUGUCGUGAGAUGUUGGGUUAAGUCCCGCAACGAGCGCAACCCCUACGGUUAGUUGCUACGCAAGAGCACUCUAACAGGACUGCCGUUGACAAAACGGAGGAAGGUGGGGACGACGUCAAAUCAUCAUGCCCCUUACGUUCUGGGCUACACACGUACUACAAUGGCGUAAAACAGAGGGCUGCGAAGGCGCGAGCCGGAGCUAAUCUCCAAAAUACGUCUCAGUUCAGAUUGCAGGCUGCAACUCGCCUGCAUGAAGAUGGAAUUGCUAGUAAUCGCGAAUCAGAAUGUCGCGGUGAAUACGUUCCCGGGCUUUGUACACACCGCCCGU
rnacentral:rRNA from 1 species